rnacentral:rRNA from 1 species
GGCGAACUGAGGGCCAGCGGCCGGGGUAAGCGGGAGGGGGCAAGGGUUGUUCGGGUGUGUUGGGCGUAAAGAGCGUGUAGGCGGCCAAACAGGGCAGCUGUGAAAACUCGAGGCUCAACCUCGAGACGUCGGUUGGAACCGUUGGGCUAGAGUCCGGAAGAGGAGAGUGGAAUUCCCGGUGUAGCGGUGAAAUGCGCAGAUAUCGGGAAGAACACCCGUGGCGAAGGCGGCACUCUGGGACGGUACUGACGCUGAGACGCGAAAGCGUGGGGAGCGAACAGGAUUAGAUACCCGUGUAGC